AGGAGACAUUGCGUUCAGCUGGAGUUGUUACAAAGUUUAGCUGGAGGUUUCCUUUUCCUUUUGGUCUUUUCCCAGUUCCUCUGGCAACCCUCCCCAAGGAUCCUUCCUAGGCAAGGCAGAAAUGGCUUCCUUGUGGAUCCAGAGAGCCCACAGGGCUUUUCCCACUGCUUCCUCUGCCCCAGUAUUUCACUCGGCUCUCUAAACUGACUCAGCUCCAGGAAAUAUUGAAAAUGGACAUGUGAAGCUCAUUGUUAUACAUUUAAAAAAUAACAGAGAACACCUACCUCUUAUUGGAAAAGUUGGCCUCUCGUGGAAAACUGAUAUUUUUGAUGGCUGUAUAAAGAGUUGUUCCAUGAUGGACGUAACUCUUUUGGAUGAACAUGGGAAACCCUUUUGGUGUUUCAGUUCCCCGGUGUGCCUGAGAUCGCCUGCCACACCCUCUGACAGCUCUAGCUUCUUGGGACAGACAUACAACGUGGACUACGUUGAUGCGGAAGGAAGAGUGCACGUGGAGCUGGUGUGGAUCAGAGAGACCGAAGAAUACCUUAUUGUCAACCUGGUCCUUUAUCUUAGUAUCGCAAAAAUCAACCAUUGGUUUGGGACUGAAUAUUAGCAGUAGGUGGCAAAUUAUUGUUGUUAUUUAGUUGUUUAUUUUUGACUGGCUUUGUUCUUGGUGUUGAAAAUUAAAAUAAAGCAAAUCUGCAGAGUGCUGUGCAAUGCC
rnacentral:lncRNA from 10 species